CCCUAAACGAUGUCUACUAGUUGUCGGGUUUUAAUUAACUUGGUAACGCAGCUAACGCGUGAAGUAGACCGCCUGGGGAGUACGGUCGCAAGAUUAAAACUCAAAGGAAUUGACGGGGACCCGCACAAGCGGUGGAUGAUGUGGAUUAAUUCGAUGCAACGCGAAAAACCUUACCUACCCUUGACAUGUACGGAAGGCCGAAGAGAUUUGGCUGUGCUCGAAAGAGAACCGUAACACAGGUGCUGCAUGGCUGUCGUCAGCUCGUGUCGUGAGAUGUUGGGUUAAGUCCCGCAACGAGCGCAACCCUUGUCAUUAGUUGCUACGAAAGGGCACUCUAAUGAGACUGCCGGUGACAAACCGGAGGAAGGUGGGGAUGACGUCAAGUCCUCAUGGCCCUUAUGGGUAGGGCUUCACACGUCAUACAAUGGUACAUACAGAGCGCCGCCAACCCGCGAGGGGGAGCUAAUCGCAGAAAGUGUAUCGUAGUCCGGAUUGUAGUCUGCAACUCGACUACAUGAAGUUGGAAUCGCUAGUAAUCGCGGAUCAGCAUGUCGCGGUGAAUACGUUCCCGGGUCUUGUACACACCGCCCGUCACACCAUGGGAGCGGGUUUUACCAGAAGUAGGUAGCUUAACCGCAAGGAGGGCGCUUACCACGGUAGGAUUCUUGACUGGGGUGAAGUCGUACCAAGGUAAGCCCGUAUCGGAAGGUGCC
rnacentral:rRNA from 1 species